rnacentral:misc_RNA from 1 species
UGGAGACAAGCCAAAGCCUCCCAUUUCUCUGCUGCUUCAAAAACAAAAAGGAAACUGAGGCAUAGGCGAUCUCUCUGUUAAAUGGCUGGUGAUGAAGACGGAGAGGUUGGGUUCGAAGAAGGAAUGCCAUGGCUACCUUCUCAUGUUCUACAUGAAGCAAUAUGGGAAACCAAGGAAUACCAACACCACCAAUAUCAUCAUCAAUAUCGCAAUCUUCCUAAAUUCCCUCUGCAACCGCAACAAUUGCGCUCAAAAUCUAGCCCCAGGCCUCAAGGUAGAAGAAAAUACCCUAUUAACUGGGCAUCAGGUGGAUACGGAAUGCAAGCAAUUUUUCUAGAUUCGGGUCAAAAUUCAUGUGGGACUGGAGUUUUUCUUCCAAGAAGGGCAGGCACAAACUUGCAAUCAAGCAAGAAGCCAGGUACCAUUAUUAAAUGUUAGAAUCACAGUGGUAUGUCGUUUAUCUACUGAAAUAAAGUAAAAAAGAUUGAUCAGGCACAGUAAUGAAAAUCUAAAUAAAAUGAGUUUGAUCAUAACCAAGCAAAAUAAAUAUUCAGUAAGAACAUUAGUCUUGAUGCCAAUGUCUGUCAUGACUGUGCAGCUUGCUCUCCUGUUCUUCUACCUGCACGAGUGAUCCAAGCUCUCAAUCUCAAUACCCAUGAAAUAGGCCUGCAGAUAUCCCGCCGGCAAGGUUAUUCUUAAUAAUUUUGCAUCCCUAUCUUUUUCUACUUGUUGCUGUUUCAUGCUCUAGGAUCGAUUUUUUAUUAACAGUAACAUAUGCAGAUGCAAAGAAUAUGUCAAAAGGUGGAGACUGCAUUUCAAUUAAAAAGAAAAAUGGCAAGGAUGCAUCAACACAAUGUUGUGUGGUAUCACCGAAUGAAAAUUCUUCACCAGAGACAUUUCUUCCCAAAGAAUGGACUUACUAGCACCCAAAUGGCCUGCUACACGAAAUAUCCACAAAAGUAAAAGCUCAUUUCAAGUUGUGCUUAUUAUACACCAAUUAGUUGUGCAGUGUAAUUUAAAUAAUGACAGCACAAUUAUUUCUUCAUCGUUGAAUUUGUUCGUGUGGUCCACAUGUUCAAUUACAUAAUAAUACUAUUAUCUUCUGCAAAAGAUACUCGUAGAGAUACCACUUUGAGUUAUGAGGUUAAUUCAAAUUCUUUCCAGGAUCUGAUAACAUGUUCAAGAUGUGAGCCUCACUUUGUAAUAUGCACCCAUAUAUAUCAAACCAUGAAGAAUUUCUACUGCAAUUUAAAAAGCUGCAUGAAAGGAGCUACUGAACACUUACUAAUGGGCAACCAUGCUGGAAUCUAGAGUAGUGAAAGCAAUUAAUUGAAAAAUCGAGCAGUCUUUUAUGAAAAAUGCAGUAUAGUGUGUGCAGACGAGAAAGAAAAGCGGCUCUAUAUACUUAUGAAAAAACUUCUUCAUUCUUCUGUUGGAGCUGCAAAUGCAAGGCCCUUCACAACAUGGCGGCACUGAAACCUGGAAGAGAACCUCAGAUUCAGAUAGAUCGCUUAUUGAGAUAGGAAUUUUGGAGUAGCACAAUUUCAUGAGGCUAGGAAAUAGAAAUUGAUUCAAACCAUCCCAUCCUCUUUUAAGACUUUGUGAUUAAUGAAUUCCGUAAUGGUAGAGGGAGAUUUAACAACUGCCAGUAACACCAACAUUUAUAUUUCAACUAAACCUUCAGAAAAUAGAAUAACUUCUAAAAAUAUUUUUAGGACUUUUCAUAUGGUUUCUCGCAUAGCUAAAUUUUGCUAAAUGAAUCCCUGAUUAUACUUCCCGUCAUAGAGUAUUGUUUCUGAUCAAUAAAUCAUCAAAACCUAGUAUAACAUUUGCAUAAUUUGUGUUUACCUUAACAAAGUUGCAAGCAAGUGUAUAUAUAGGGUAGGCGCACCUGAGAUACUACCAUUUGGAACAGUAAGCUUCACAUACCAGAUAAACUCAUUUGAAGUAGAAUCCCUCGAGUUGACGGAACUGAUUGAUUGACAAGCACAAUCCAGAACAUACAUUUCCAGAUUUUGACUUUUGCACUUGACUUGCAGUAUGACAGGCAUUAUCUGACUCACAAGAGAGCAUGGAAACAUGAACAUUCGGACACAACGAAUGAAGCUUCUAAACUAAGGAAGACCAAAAUACAUUUGGUAAUACUUUCAGUAAAAAGGAGAGUGACAAGUUCCCAAUUCCUGAUUCUAGAUGCUGCAUUUUGAUCGUAAUCAGAGCACAAGCAUGCCAACUAAGGAUAAAUAAAGCUCACUGCUUACCAAAAUUUGUCGCAGCUCCACAAAACGUAGUGUCAUCAGCAAAACAAUUCUCGUAGAAGUAUGGCAAACAUCAAAAUAUUUCAACUCAAUGAACAGUCAAAAUAUAGCAAAUUAGAUUUAAUCCAACAGGAGCUACACUUAGAGCAAAGAAGGGUCCUUCAUCUAGGAAUGAAUUGUCAGAAUGGCGGUUUAUUACAAUGGCCUAUAAAAAUCUAAGGAUGCAACACCCAUAUGCAAGUAAAAGCAUUAUAAUGCAUUUGCUAUUUUUGCAGAUUGAUUUUUACCUUUUUGCUAUAUCUGAAGCCACGUUUUGGAAGAAAAUGCGGGGGCAGAGUAAAAGAAGAUGGAGCUUUUACCAAUAGAAACAAUUUAGUAGAACCUCAGGAAAAGAAGGAGAAAAAAUCAGCUUGAACUUUCACCAGCCUAACAUAAAAUGACUGGAUAUGCUUUACCAAUACCUGGGUAAGAAUCAGACCCAACACCCUUAGCUAUCAAUGCUCGAAUAGCCUUUCUUGAAAGCCCUUCUGCUGCUUUGGUUUUAGUGAAAUCAAUUGCAUCUCUUAAGAUAGAUUUUCCGCGUGAAAAGCACAACUCAUACACAUGCUGGGGUCGUAUCGGACUAGCUCCCAAGACCAAAAUGAAACUCUCAAGGCUAGGAAUCUCACUGAUUAUCAGUUUUAAUGCACUUUCAAGGCCACUAACUGUAUACAUUAACUUCUCCAAUCUCCUAAUUCUACCUUUGACCUCUCUAAUUUUGCCCAUAUGCUUUCUUCGAACAGAUGCGUUUGAUUCAGCUUGUGCAAGAUCCAUCUCCAGUUCAUGGUACUCAUCUUUCAGGGCGUCGAAUUCUAGGCCAAUAUCUUGAAAAACGGAAGGGAUCUGCUGGUGCAUGUAGAGGAUGAAGCCCAUAACAUCUUUUAUGACAUGGAAGAUCACCGAAUUAUCCAUAGUCUCUGCGUUGGUCUCGAUCUCAAUAUUUUCCAUUUCUUUUCUUUUUCUUCAAACAGAGUUCAGAAACUGAUUAAAGAUUUUCUGUCUGUGUCGGUUAUAUUAUCUAAUUCAAG